GACGAACGCUGGCGGCGUGCUUAACACAUGCAAGUCGAACUAAGUGGCGAACGGGUGAGUAACGCGUAAUCAACCUGCCCUUCAGAUGGGGACCACAGUUGGACACGACUGCUCAUACCGCAUACUUAAGGAGGUGAUUGCGUCUGAUUAGCGAGUUGGAGGGGUAGCGCCCCCCCAAGGCUAUGAUCAGUAGCCGGCCUGAGAGGAUGAACGGCAACAGUGGGACUGAGAAACGGCCCAGAUUACUACGGGAGGCAGCAGUGGGGAAUCUUCCGCAAUGGACGAAAGUCUGACGGAGCAACGCCGCGUGAGUGAUGACGGCCUUCGGGUUGUAAAGCUCUGUUAAUCGGGACGCGGUACCGGAAUAGAAAGCCACGGCUAACUACGUGCCAGCAGCCGCGGUAAUUC
rnacentral:rRNA from 1 species